GUACGCUGGCGGCACGCCUAACACAUGCAAGUCGAACGCAGUAGCAAUACUGAGUGGCAAACGGGUGAGUAUAAUGUGGGAAUCUGCCUUUUGGUUUGGAAUAACACGGGGAAACUUGUGCUAAUACCGAAUAAGCCCUUACGGGGAAAGUUUUAACGCCGAAAGAUGAGCCUGCACUUGAUUAGCUAGUUGGUAAGGUAAAAGCUUACCAAGGCAACGAUCAAUAGCUGUUCUUAGAGGAAGACCAGCCACAUUGGGACUGAGACACGGCCCAGACUCCUACGGGAGGCAGCAGUGGGGAAUCUUGCACAAUGGGGGAAACCCUGAUGCAGCGAUGCCGCGUGAGUGAAGAAGGCCCUUGGGUUGUAAAACUCUUUCGUCGGGGAAGAAAAUGACUGUACCCGAAUAAGAAGGUCCGGC
rnacentral:rRNA from 1 species